UACGUAGGGACCAAGCGUUGUCCGGAAUCAUUGGGCGCAAAGCGCGCGUAGGUGGCUUCGUAAGUCCGUUGUGAAAGUCAAAGGCUCAACCUUUGAAAGCCGAUGGAUACUGCGGAGCUAGAGUACGGAAGAGGCGAGUGGAAUUCCUGGUGUAGCGGUGGAAUGCGCAGAUAUCAGGAGGAACACCAAUAGCGAAGGCAGCUCGCUGGGACGUUACUGACACUGAGGCGCGAAAGCGUGGGGAGCGAACAGG
rnacentral:rRNA from 1 species